UGGGAGAUGGUGAACCACUGGAUCCUCCAGAAUGUACCGACGCCUUCCAACAAGAAAGUAUGACCUCAGGAGUGCCAAUUAACAUUGAAGGUAAUAUUCUGUUCCUUAGGGAAGACGAUGAAGUUGAGGUUAUUGCUGGAGUUGGGCCAUUACAUGAAACAAUAGAAAACCUAACAGAUGACGAAGUUAAUGAAGAGCAUGAAAUAAUAGGAGAGGAUAUAAAUGACGAAGCUGGUGAAGACCAUGAAAUAUCCGAUGCUGAUAUGGAUUAUGACAUGUAGUUCUUUUUUUGGGUAGAUAUAUGUACUUCCUCUAAGCAUUGUAUGUGGAUCCUUAUAUGUAUUUUACAUGUGCUUAGUUUUUGACGUUAUGGGUUUGCAUUAGAUAUUUUGUUUUACACUGCUCUUAAUCUACAUUAGUUUAAAACAGUAUUGUUUAUUUAUAGUUCAUCAUCACGCAAAAAAGUCUAGAGGAGAAAAAGUGCCUACCCACAAAAAACAAGAAAAAGUAAUGCUCCAGCCUAAUUUUCUAGCAACUCAUUACAAAACACAUUAUGAAAGGGUAAGAGAUGAGAAAAUAAAGAGGAACAAUGAGGUAUUGGAAUCUCUUGGGGUUAAGAAAAUUGCAACAUCUAUGAUGGGAUCGGCUCGGUUCCAGUGUGCAAAUGAUAAUGGGAAGCGUGGUAGGGCUGAUCAGAUGGACGACCCUAACUAUAUACUAUCAAACGAUGAGGAUGGUCAUGGCUAUAACAGUGAGUCUGAUGACUCUUUCGAGCAAGAGGACAUAGAGAUACCACCAGGUGGUCUACCAGCAAAAUCGCAUACAGAGCCACAAUGUGGUGCAACUCUGAUCUUUGAGAGGGUCACUCGAUCAACACCACAUCCUAGCAUGGAAAGCCAGGCCUCAUUGUCUCCCAUUGCUCAGCUACAAAAUGAGAUGCUACCUGAGAACAAUGGCGAAAUCAAUAGACCAACCCGUGGACCUACGCGAGGCAUGCAGGCUCAACGACUCAUUGACAAACAAGGAAAGCUUCUAGUUCCCAUUCCACAACUAUUCCGUGCGUCGGAAGGAAAGCAUGUUGCUCAAUUAGCCUCAAGGAUUGGUGUCGAGGUUCGCACACAUGUGAUAGACCUUGGCGUCCCUAGGUGGAAGGCAGUAGAUGAGAAAGUUAAAACGCCUAUACUUUAGCGCAUAAUGGAUAAGUUUGACUUGCAAGGAGAUCCAAUCGAUGUUGAAAAGGCAGUGGCAACACAAUGUGGACGGAGGUUGAGCAAUCACAACUUCGUUUUGCACAAAAAGUACAAGAAACUUAAAGAAACAAGGGGGGAAGAGUAUGCUAGAAAUAACCCACCAGCAAGUGUAAAUCUAGAGCAGUGGACGAGCUUAGUCACUAAGAAGUGGACUGUUCCAAAAUGGCUGGAGCGAUCAGAAAAAAACACCUCAAAUAGGUCUUGGUCUAAGACAAAACAUAGAUGUGGAUCAAAGUCACUCUCAGUUAGGGUUGCCGCUGCGAUACAUGAUAAUGGAGGUGUUGUGCCCACGGUAACAGAGAUGUACAAAUCCACCCACUUUAAUAAGGACACGCAAAAGUGGAUCUCUUCAGAAUCCAAAGUUCUUUAUGAUAAGAUGGUAAAAAUAGAGACUGAACAUAAUGCGCAAGAAGGUGCAAUCCCGAUUACGCAAGAUGAGCUCUCUGUUAAAGGACUCAAGGCAAGGUCAGGCUAUGUGAAGGGACUUGGCAUUAGGUCUUCCUCCUCUAUUAGGAUUGUGAAUGGGGAGUAUGUAACACACCUCGAGGGAAGGUGCAAGAGCAAGCUGAGAAAAUUCAAGAGCAAACUGAAAAAAUUUAGGAGCAAGCGGAAUGAAUUGAAGCAGCAAACAAUAAGAUAGACGAGUUUGCCUUGGCAAAAGAGGAACAGGAGAAGACUUUGGCUAGUGUUAUGGCAUUUCUUAAACAACAAGGAUUCACCGGUUAACAACUUGUUGAUUGAGUAUGUAGAAGGUUGGUAGCAGAAGAUGAUAUACGCUUUUCUAUGAAGACUUCUUUUUGGAUGAAGUUUAGAGUCUUCUUUAUUCGAUGAUGCUAUGAGAACUCUUCUUUUUUGAUGAUUCAUAGGAUAAGAACUAUGAUGAACAUAUAUGGCCUAGUUUGGUUAUUUUUGGCAUUCGUACAUGGAUGCAUUACAUCCUAAGUGUGGAUGAUUAUUUUCGUGUGCAUGAAUGUUGGGUAUGACGAUGUGUUGGAUAUUAUGGUAAAAUAGAAUGGGCUUACUAUUCAGUGCAAUUCAGAUGUAUUAUAGUUCUUGUUUGAGAUCUAUUGGAUUCUAAAAUGCAUAAGAUAUGGUAUUUAGAAGAGUGCGAGACGAUUUUUUGUCACCUAUAUUUCUAAUAUAUGAAAAAUAGGUGACAAAUAUUUUUGUCACUAAAGAGGAUUUUCGAAGAAGCAUUUCAAAGACGAAUUUUUUUGUCAUUAAUUGGCUUUAAUUUUACAAUUAUAGGAGACAAAAUUAUUUGUCACAUUUACUAUUUUAUAAUAUUUAAAUUA